rnacentral:rRNA from 1 species
UACAUGGGGUGCAAACGUUGCUCGGAAUCAUUGGGCGUAAAGCGCGCGUAGGCGGUUACUUAAGUUGGAUGUGAAAGCCCUCGGCUUAACCGAGGAAGUGCAUCCAAAACUGAGUAGCUAGAGUACGAAAGAGGGUCGCGGAAUUCCCGGUGUAGAGGUGAAAUUCGUAGAUAUCGGGAGGAACACCGGUGGCGAAGGCGGCGACCUGGGUCGAGACUGACGCUGAGGCGCGAAGGCGUGGGGAGCGAACGGG